UGUGUUUGACCUGGAUACUUUCUCCAGAUCUGCUUCUGACCUGUGGACUGACUUGCUAGCUGGACUUUAGACCCGCCUCAACCCUAUCAGAGAUGCAUGAUGCCUGCACUGGGAGGCUUUCAACACUCUUCCCUCUAGGUUCUCCAGCUCCUAGAGGAGGAACCGAGCGAGCGGCCGAGGGAGUCGAUCUGGGGCGGAGGAGCGGAGGCCGCCCUUUGCCCCCCGCGGCGGCCGGCGGCCCAUGUGGCAGUGGACUUUGGCAGUGGCGCCCGGGGAGCGGAAGAAGGGCCCCGGCGGCCUCCGAGCAGGCCACUAAAGCCAUUUGGGACUUAACCUCUCCUGCCACCCC